UGGAUGUAACUGAUAAGGCUGUAGGCAACAUAUAAAAUCCUCCCACAGCUCGUCUGCCCACGAUAAUUAUUUUAAUUAUUACUUUACUAUUAUUAUUAUUAUAUACAUUAUAUCUAAACUGAAUCUGCCUUGCACUCACCCUUGCUCACAACUGCACAGAACUGCAUUCAUCACUGAUUCUCUCGUGACUGUCUUGUGACAGUCCAGACUCACACACUUGUUGGCCCUGAUAGGCCAAGGGAACAAAACAUCCUCACUUCAGGUUUCUUUUUCAGAUUCUGGCCAACGGAUAUUUUCCCGAGGAUUCACAGGGAUCACCUUUAACUACGCACACUGUGGAGAUCCUGGGAGGCAUUCCCUGCGUUGGGGAGACACUCAUGGCUUCCCUCAGGGGCUAUUGGAACUCCACUGGCUCCUUUCCCUGUUCCUAUGGCACAUUGAACUGGGACCUCUUCUGGAAAACAUCUGCACUAGACUACCCCAAAAAUUUGAGGUUUUUUAGCCCACUGUCAUGAAUUUGAAAUUUUGGUUCUUUCCUCCUUUCACUCUCAGGUGUUGGGAAGAGACUUGAGUUGAGAUGGUGUAGUGGUUUUGGUUUGCUAAUUUAAGAUUUCUUUAAUGUUGAGACGUUUUUGGUUAAUGUAUUAAAAACUGAGGUGAUUUAGUGUUGGUUAAUUACUAAUAUACUUAUUUUUUGUUGUGAGAUAAGGAGAAAGGUAAAGUAGGUUUAAAACUCUAAGAGAGUAUAAAGAAAGUUUCAUUAGAAGUAAUUAAAAGCAAAAAAAAAAGUGGUAAGAAUUAAAACAAACUCUUCAGAAUACAACUUCUCUUCCCACAACCUUUUCUUUAUUAGUGAUAAUGUAAAGAAAUUAAGAUUUUCAGUCAGUUUACUACUUUUAAACCAAUCUUUUUUAGUUUACUGAGAGAGAGGAGUCCCUCUUGCUAAGGUUGUGGAGAUAUUUUUACUAGAGGGAAAAAAUAGUUUUCUUGUGGUUUUUAAUUUUGUUAUGAAUAAUAGCUAUCUGGAAAACUC